rnacentral:rRNA from 1 species
UACGAAGGGGGCUAGCGUUGUUCGGAAUUACUGGGCGUAAAGGGCGCGUAGGCGGUACUUCAAGUCAGGCGUGAAAUCCCCGGGCUUAACCUGGGAACUGCGUUUGAAACUACAAGGCUAGAGUGUGGCAGAGGGGGGUGGAAUUCCACGUGUAGCAGUGAAAUGCGUAGAGAUGUGGAGGAACACCGAUGGCGAAGGCAGCCCCCUGGGUUAACACUGACGCUCAGGCACGAAAGCGUGGGGAGCAAACAGG